UACGUAGGUGGCAAGCGUUAUCCGGAUUUACUGGGUGUAAAGGGCGUGUAGGCGGGACUGCAAGUCAGAUGUGAAAACCCGGGGCCCAACCCCGGGAGUGCAUUUGAAACUGCCAUGCUGGAGUGCCGGAGAGGUAAGCGGAAUUCCUAGUGUAGCGGUGAAAUGCGUAGAUAUUAGGAGGAACACCAGUGGCGAAGGCGGAUGACUGGACGGCAACUGACGGUGAGGCGCGAAAGCGUGGGGAGCAAAAAGG
rnacentral:rRNA from 1 species